CCUACGGGUGGCAGCAGUGAGGAAUAUUGGUCAAUGGACGAGAGUCUGAACCAGCCAAGUAGCGUGAAGGAUGACUGCCCUAUGGGUUGUAAACUUCUUUUAUAAAGGAAUAAAACGAGGCACGUGUGCCUUUUUGCAUGUACUUUAUGAAUAAGGAUCGGCUAACUCCGUGCCAGCAGCCGCGGUAAUACGGAGGAUCCGAGCGUUAUCCGGAUUUAUUGGGUUUAAAGGGAGCGUAGAUGGGUUGUUAAGUCAGUUGUGAAAGUUUGCGGCUCAACCGUAAAAUUGCAAUUGAUACUGGCAGUCGUGAGUACAGUUGAGGUAGGCGGAAUUCGUGGUGUAGCGGUGAAAUGCUUAGAUAUCACGAAGAACCCCGAUUGCGAAGGAAGCUUACUAAACUGUGACUGACAUUGAUGCUCGAAAGUGUGGGUAUCAAACAGGAUUAGAUACCCUGGUAGUC
rnacentral:rRNA from 1 species